GGCCCCUACGCAUUGUGCGGUUAGCCGGAAUGCGGUCAGCCGUGCGGCUGACCGCAACAAAAGGUUUGUAUGAGAAUGUAGUUUUCAUUCGCACUACGACGCGGCUGCCGCCCGACCGCUCCGGUCGUUCUGAGCGCUGCGGCCCGACCGGCGGCCAGCCGGACGGUCGCUAUACACACUACGCGGAUAAGCUAGUUUGCGGUUGCCCGCCAUUGACGGUACACGUGUUCACCAACAUUCGCGCAUUCUGAUAAUGGAUUUCGAUACCGAAAAAUUUAUAGUCGAGAUACAAAAUAGGCCAGCAAUCUGGAAUACUAAAUCCGCAGAAUAUUCCGAUAAAAACUUACGUUCAAAAGCUUGGGAAGAGUUGGUGGAGAUUUAUGGAGCUGAUUUAUCACAGGAUAAAAAAAAAGAACUUGGUCUCAAUAUUCAAAAAAAGUGGCGGAACAUUCGCGACGCUUUUGUAAAGACCCAUAAAGCAAGGAUAAGUCCGAGUGGGUCUGCAGCGAAAAAAAAGGAAUCUUAUAUAUUUUAUGAUAAUCUUUUAUUUAUAAGAGAUACAGUAACUGUUAAUCGCACAGACGGUAAUGCUACAGUAAAUGAAGAUAUUGGGACAACUACACGGGAUGAAGACAAUCCUUCAUCAAAUACUGUAUUGGCAUCAAAGAAAAGAAAGAGAAAUAAUGAAGACCACAUUGGUGCACAGUUAGUCGGAGUUUUAAGUAAAAAUUUAGAAAAAAAAAAUUUGGAUGAUGACAACGAUCGCCUUUUUUUCUUGUCAUUGGUAAAGGAUUUUAAGAAAAUACCCGAUCACCUACGAAUGCAAACCAAGUUAGAUAUUUUAAGAGUAAUUAAUGACGCACAACAUUUUUCUGAUUACUAUGCAAACACACAGUGGAGUUCUUCAAGGCCCAAUUCCUAUCGUGGAUACCAAACGACGCAGUAUUCGAGAAAUAAUCCCAACAGUCAGCCUAUGUAUCCGUCGGAAUUCGGACGACCACAUUCUCAAGCGUCCGCAGCGAGUCCGUCGCAAAACUUGGAUGUACAAUCACCAUUAUCAACGGGCCAAGAGUCUCAAAAUAGUGAACACUCGUCUUACUUGGAACUUUUUAAUUCUUUAAAUGAUAAUGACAAUGAUUAAAAUGUGAACCCACUUUCUUUUGAACCAUAAAUAAUAAUAAAUUAACCACAUACAAAG